AUGCAUGUUCCAUCUCCCGAUGCAGUGCCCUCAGCCUGCAUGGAUCGGCGGCCGGAGGGCGGCAGGGCGAGGAAGCGCGCGCGGGAGGAGCCGGACCAGGCGGCGGACUUCCCCUUCGACGAGGCGGCGGCCGCGGCCGACGCCGGGGAGGCGUGGCGGAGGCCGCCGGGCGUGUUCCAGUUCCCGUGGCAGAAGUGCCGCGGCGGGCUCGGCGUGGCCGGCGGCGGCGGCUGGGAGCUGCGGGACGUCUUCUUCCACUCCCUCGUCGACGGCGGCGCCGCGGCCAUCGGCGUGCCGGGCGACCGCCUCGUCUCGCCGCCGCCGCCCAGCAAGCAGCGCGCGCUCUUCGACGACGUCGACGCCUGGCUCGCCGCCGCCGCCGACGGCGAGGUCGACCCCGUUUGGCGGUCGGCGAUCAGCGGCGCCGGGCCCUCCGCGUCGGCGGUGUGA
rnacentral:rRNA from 1 species